rnacentral:rRNA from 1 species
GACGAACGCUGGCGGCGUGCCUAAUACAUGCAAGUUGAGCGCUGAAGGUUGGUACUUGUACCAACUGGAUGAGCAGCGAACGGGUGAGUAACGCGUGGGGAAUCUGCCUUUGAGCGGGGGACAACAUUUGGAAACGAAUGCUAAUACCGCAUAAAAACUUUAAACACAAGUUUUAAGUUUGAAAGAUGCAAUUGCAUCACUCAAAGAUGAUCCCGCGUUGUAUUAGCUAGCUGGUGAGGUAAAGGCUCACCAAGGCGAUGAUACAUAGCCGACCUGAGAGGGUGAUCGGCCACAUUGGGACUGAGACACGGCCCAAACUCCUACGGGAGGCAGCAGUAGGGAAUCUUCGGCAAUGGACGAAAGUCUGACCGAGCAACGCCGCGUGAGUGAAGAAGGGUUUCGGAUCGUAAAACUCUGUUGGUAGAGAAGAACGUUGGUGAGAGUGGAAAGCUCAUCAAGUGACGGUAACUACCCAGAAAGGGACGGCUAACUACGUG